rnacentral:rRNA from 1 species
UACGUAGGGUGCGAGCGUUGUCCGGAAUUAUUGGGCGUAAAGGGCUCGUAGGCGGUCUGUUGAGUCAGGGGUGAAAACUCGGGGCUUAACCCCGAGCCUGCUUCUGAUACGGGCAGACUAGAGGUAUGCAGGGGAGAACGGAAUUCCUGGUGUAGCGGUGAAAUGCGCAGAUAUCAGGAGGAACACCGGUGGCGAAGGCGGUUCUCUGGGCCGCUACUGACGCUGAGAAGCGAAAGCAUGGGGAGCGAACAGG